rnacentral:lncRNA from 1 species
CACUCCUCUCAGGAGAUCUGUUCCUAUGACUUUCAACAAAGCACCACCGAAUUGUCAUUGUAUUUUCAUGGAAUCCCCUCUGCAGUUAUGUUUGCCUGUGCAUCUCCGGCAGCUGGAGGACGAAUCACAUCAGGCUGAUGAGUGUGUCACGCUCUUCAUCCCCCAAGAGCUGUGAUGAAGACCAAGACAAACAGUAGAUUAACAGUGCUACCUUUUAUAAGGCUGAUUAGUUCCUAAAAUAUGCUGAAAGGAAACAAAACCAAAAAGAAAAAAGAGUGGAAAGGGGGGUGAGACAGAAACCUUUGUCGAGUCUCAUUCCAUCACCCAGGCUGGAGUGCAGCGGCGUGAUCUUGGCAACCUCCACCUCCCAGGCUCAAGAAAUCCUCCCACCUCAGCCUCCCAAUAGCUGGAUCUACAGGCGUACACCACCACAAUCAGCUGUAUUUUUUGUAGAGACUGGGUUUCGCCAUGUUGCCCAGGGUGGUCAUGAACUUGUGAGCUCAAGUGAUCUGCCCGCCUCAGCCUCCCAAAGUGCUGGGAUUACAGGCAUGAGCCACCGCCCCUGGCCUAAUAAAAUUUAUUUUUAAAAAAGGACCUAUGGCGAAUCAUUUUUACAAAUAAAAUCUAUAGUCAAGGUGCAGUAUGGGAACAGCAUUUUACUGAGUAAUCUUGCAAAGAAUAUGUCAUUAACCACUACACUAAUCUUGUUCUUGAUGUACACCAGCAACAAAUACAAAGAAAAAUUUAGUCUCUUACUUUAACAGGUUCCAAGUAUGCCACAUCGUAUUUUUUGCCAAAUAAUUUAUUAGUAAGAGGAGAUGACUCUAGUAAGUUAUAGAAGUUAUAUUGAAUUUUUAAAAAAAAUUUUUCAAAACUAUUCUGUGGGGAUUGAGGACAGAUGAACUACAAAGGAACAUGAUGGAACUUUCUGGGGUGAGCAUAAUGUUCUAUAUGAUGAUAGGGGCUUGGGUUACAUAAGUGAGCAUUUAUGAAAACUGUACACUUUUUGUGCAUUUCAUUGUGUAUAAAGUUUACUUCAAAAAAAACAUUGAACUCCAAUUAAUUACAUGCAUGCUGAACUAUUUAGAGUGAAGUAUACUGAUGCCUGUUGUUUACUUUGAAGUAUUUCAAAACAGUAAAAUGGAUAGAGGAAUGUGUAAUAAAUUGGUACACGAUAAGGAAAAUAUAGUCAAUUAUGUUAAUAGUAAAAUCUAGAUGGUGAGUAAACUGGUG